rnacentral:rRNA from 1 species
UACAGGGGGGGCAAGCGUUGUUCGGAAUUACUGGGCGUAAAGGGCCAGUAGGCGGCCAACUAAGUCACACGUGAAAUCCCCGGGCUUAACCCGGGAACUGCGUGUGAUACUGGAUGGCUUGAAUUCGGGAGAGGGAUGCAGAAUUCCGGGUGUAGCGGUGAAAUGCGUAGAUAUCUGGAGGAAUACCGGUGGCGAAGGCGGCAUCCUGGACCGACAUUGACGCUGAACGGCGAAAGCUAGGGGAGCAAACGGG